rnacentral:rRNA from 1 species
UAAGGAAUAUUGCUCAAUGGGAGAAAUCCUGAAGCAGCAACGCCGCGUGGAGGAUGAAGGGUCUAUGACUUGUAAACUCCUGUAAAGAAGGAAAAAAUUCCCAUUUGAUGGGAGAUGAUGGUACUUCUGGAGUAAGCCCCGGCUAGCUACGUGCCAGCAGCCGCGGUAAUACGUAGGGGGCAAGCGUUGUCCGGAUUUACUUGGUGUAAAGGGUGCUCAGGCGGAUUUGUAAGUCAGAGGUGAAAUCUUACAGCUUAACUGUGAAACUGCCUUUGAUACUGCAAGCCUAGAGUAUGGAAGAGAGUGAUGGAAUAUCUGGUGUAGCAGUGAAAUGCGUAGAUAUCAGAGAGAACACCGAUGGCGAAGGCAGUCACUUGGUCCAUUACUGACGCUAAAGCACGAAAGCGUGGGUAGC